AAUUAAUCAACCACCACCACGGAACCAUUUUGGGUUAAAUGUUAGGUAGAUGAAUACCUGUGAGCGUUAGGAGCGCUGAGUGUUUUUCCUCUUCGCAUUCUCUCAUUAACAUAUGAAUUGAAGAUUUUAUAGUGAGGUGUCAUAAAAGGAGGGGAGCUGCUUCAGGAGCGUAUAGGCAGUCGUCUUAGCGAUGAGACUCAACUGCAAAUUCAUUUCUCCCAGCAAAUUCAAUUCAAGCUGAGUUACAAACCCGGUCGGAUAGAAUGGUGGAGUCUGACCAUGUCAGUCGAGGUCCAUCGCUGCAUCUCCUUCGCCGAUGAAAGCACUGUAAAAUACCAAUAAACAAGUGAGAAA